UCCCGUUUAGCUCAGUUGGUAGAGCGCGUCACUAGUACAUGGGCUUCAAGAUUCUGCUCUGCUAUGACGAGGUCAGUCGUUCGAGUCGGCUAAUGGGAA